AGUGAACGCUGGCGGUAGGCCUAACACAUGCAAGUCGAACGGCAGCACAGUAAGAGCUUGCUCUUACGGGUGGCGAGUGGCGGACGGGUGAGGAAUACAUCGGAAUCUACUUUUUCGUGGUGGCUAACGUAGGGAAACUUACGUUCAUACCGAAUACGACCUACGGGUGAAAGCAGGGGAUCUUCGGACCUUGCUCGAUUGAAUUAGCCGAUGCCGGAUUAGCUAGUUGGCGGGGUAAAGGCCCACCAAGGCGACGAUCCGUAGCUGGUCUGAGAGGAUGAUCAGCCACACUGGAACUGAGACACGGUCCAGACUCCUACGGGAGGCAGCAGUAGGGAAUAUUGGACAAUGGGCGCAAGCCUGAUCCAGCCAUACCGCGUGGGUGAAGAAGGCCUUCGGGUUGUAAAGCCCUUUUGUUGGGAAAGAAAAGCAGCAGGUUAAUACCCCGCUGUUCUGACGGUACCCAAAGAAUAAGCACCGGCUAACUUCGUG
rnacentral:rRNA from 1 species